AAUCGAUCGAAUUUCUAGUCGCAAUUCUCUGUCUGUCCCUCGGCUCUGGGGAGAAAGGGGGGGCUGUGGCGUGGGGGCUGAGGAGGGGCUAAGGCGGGAGGGGCUCCUCAUCACUUCACCCUCCCUUUUCGCCAUGUGGGGGCCCUGAGCGCCGCCCCAGAAGAGGUCGAGGGAAUGUUGUGGGCUGGGGCACACCGGCAGGGCAGAAACUGGAGGAAGCGAGAGACGUCGCCAGGGACCCAGGGACCUCUCCCUCCAGUUCCCCGGGCCCGCCCGGCCCUGCUCGCCACUCCCGCUAUAGCGCCCACUCUGUCCCCGGCCGUCCCGCACCAGCAGUGUAGCCCCCAGCCCGGGCGCCUGAACGCUCUCCCUCCGGAUUACUGCUCGGGUUCCCACUUUGGCGACCGUGCCCCCGAGUCCCGCUUCCCGGGGGCCUGCUCUGGAUCAGGCGCCUGCGCCUUCAAGGGUACCCGGCCCGCCUGCCCUCCCCAAGGGCCAAGUUUGCGCUCCUCCCGGAAUCGUUUGAGAGAAGGACAAACUUUUGAGAGGAUGGAAAUCUAGAGGAGCCGGUCUGCAGUAGACAAUUCUUCCCCACUCCCAGCCAUCUGCAAGCCACAGUCAGCCUGUCCCUGCUCCCGAAAAUGGAAUUGCUGAUGCCCCCAAGGCUGUUACUCUCCCAGGGUGAGUGAGAGUGAGGUCAAUGACGCCAGGUCGGAGCCUCAAACUCUUAAAUAAGCAAAGCAUAUUUCCCGAUUCCUGAUGCAUUUAGGGGUCAUCUAUCCCUUGGAAUGGAGAGGCUGGCGAUUCUGGCUGGUGGCUAUCUUUCCACAGAACACCCCUGAUUAGCCAGGCCCACCGCCAUCCACAUCUGCUCGACAAAGAAGGAAGGUAGCUUGUUCCAGACCUUGGUGAGCGGCUGCAGACUGCCUGCCUAGAACAGCCUCCUUACUCCAGCCUGGCAGGGAAGGAAGGAACCUGACUUGCUUUGCAGGAUCUGGAAUCUCAGCGUGCAGAGCUGAGAGCCGCAGUUGCAUCCUGGAGCCUGAUGCUAGAAGCAGCUUCUGUCCCUGGGUUCUUGCUGCCAUGGCCUCUGCUCUGUUCAGUUUGCUGUUGUGUUUUUCUCUCCCAUGUUGGGGUGGUGGGGUACAGGGAAAUAAAAUGUUUUUUCCCAGGCCCUUAAUCCUUCCCCAUGCCUCCAUCAGCCUCAGAGCUGCUGACAGUCAUGAACUGCAGCUUCCAGCUCUGCCCAUAAGCUACUCAAAGCAAAUUCAAAUUCUCUUCUGGCCAGGAGGAAGGGCAGAGGCUCCCUCCUUCCUCAAGCCUCCCUGGCUCGUUGAUCCAUUUUGAGGGCAUUUGGGGGUCAAAAUUGAGACCAGAUUGCUUCGGUUUGUAUAAAAUUAGCAUUUCUUACCACACCAAAGGCCACACCUGUUCUCUGCCCUCACAAACCAGUGAGGAUGUAAAGGUUUGUUGAGGUGGAGGAACAGAAGUGAAAUGAACAAUCUGCUCCAUUUAGAAGUCAGUCGCUUUGGCUGUUCAUUCCACUAAUAUUUAGCUAGUACCUACUCUGUGCCAAGCAUUGCCUCUACCUCAGUUUGCCACAAAUAUGAAAAAAACAUUUUUGCAACGGUGAGACUUCAGUGUGUUGUGGACCAAUAUACAAAUAAAACAAUUGAAAAGAAA